UCUUAGCUUGCUAAGGCCGAUGGCGACCGGCGCACGGGUGAGUAACACGUAUCCAACUUGCCGUCUACUCUUGGACAGCCUUCUGAAAGGAAGAUUAAUACAAGAUGGCAUCAUGAGUCCGCAUAUUCACAUGAUUAAAGGUAUUCCGGUAGACGAUGGGGAUGCGUUCCAUUAGAUAGUAGGCGGGGUAACGGCCCACCUAGUCUUCGAUGGAUAGGGGUUCUGAGAGGAAGGUCCCCCACAUUGGAACUGAGACACGGUCCAAACUCCUACGGGAGGCAGCAGUGAGGAAUAUUGGUCAAUGGGCGAGAGCCUGAACCAGCCAAGUAGCGUGAAGGAUGACUGCCCUAUGGGUUGUAAACUUCUUUUAUAAGGGAAUAAAGUCGGGUAUGGAUACCCGUUUGCAUGUACUUUAUGAAUAAGGAUCGGCUAACUCCGUGCCAGCAGCCGCGGUAAUACGGAGGAUCCGAGCGUUAUCCGGAUUUAUUGGGUUUAAAGGGAGCGUAGAUGGAUGUUUAAGUCAGUUGUGAAAGUUUGCGGCUCAACCGUAAAAUUGCAGUUGAUACUGGAUAUCUUGAGUGCAGUUGAGGCAGGCGGAAUUCGUGGUGUAGCGGUGAAAUGCUUAGAUAUCACGAAGAACUCCGAUUG
rnacentral:rRNA from 1 species